CCUACGGGUGGCAGCAGUGAGGAAUAUUGGUCAAUGGCCGAGAGGCUGAACCAGCCAAGUCGCGUGAGGGAAGACGGCCCUACGGGUUGUAAACCUCUUUUGUCGGGGAGCAAAGCGAACCACGUGUGGUUCAUUGAGAGUACCCGAAGAAAAAGCAUCGGCUAACUCCGUGCCUGCAGCCGCGGUAAUACGGGGGAUGCGAGCGUUAUCCGGAUUUAUUGGGGUUAAAGGGUGCGCAGGCGGGGGUGCAAGUCAGCGGUCAAAUUGCGGGGCUCAAACCCGUACUGCCGUUGAAACUGCAUCCCUUGAGUGCGCGAGAAGUAUGCGGAAUGCGGGGUGUAGCGGUGAAAUGCAUAGAUAUCACGAGGAACCCCGAUUGCGAAGGCAGCCGGCCGGGGUGCGACUGACGCUGAGGCUCGAAGGUGCGGGUAUCAAACAGGAUUAGAUACCCCGGUAGUC
rnacentral:rRNA from 1 species